rnacentral:rRNA from 1 species
CAGUAGCCGCGGGAAUACGUAGGUCCCGAGCGUUGUCCGGAUUUAUUGGGCGUAAAGCGAGCGCAGGCGGUUAGAUAAGUCUGAAGUUAAAGGCUGUGGCUUAACCAUAGUACGCUUUGGAAACUGUUUAACUUGAGUGCAAGAGGGGAGAGUGGAAUUCCAUGUGUAGCGGUGAAAUGCGUAGAUAUAUGGAGGAACACCGGUGGCGAAGGCGGCUCUCUGGCUUGUAACUGACGCUGAGGCUCGAAAGCGAGGGGCGCAAACAGGAUUAGAUACCCGCGUAGUCCCUGUCUCUUAUACC